AGGGUAGAGAACUUUGCCUGAGGUCACUCAGCAGGGACCCACCCAUCACAGUAAAUGCCAGCACUGCUGAUGCCAAAACAAUGUUAUUUGUAGGCCCUCGGAAUUUGUGACCUGAAGGAAGAAGAGCAGGGCCGUGGGAAGUAUGUAACCAGUGUCAUGCCCCUGGUCCCAAGGAAGCAGUGGCUUGGUAAAGAGGGGACCCCCGUCAAUAACUCCCUGUAAUUACUGGGCACCCACUCUGAGCUCCUCAGUGGAAUCCUAAGGUUAAUAAGACUGUCUCUAGCCACUGGGGCUCCCAGCCUGGAGUGAGGUAAGAGGAGUGGAGCCGGCUGGGGAGGGAGACGAACACAUACACAGAAGAUUCAGACACACUUGCAAUGUAUUGCUGGGGAUUCUCCAGCAUUGGCAUGAUGGAGAGGGUGGAGAAUCAUUUGACCGCCUCCGCCUAGGAUUGCAGAGUUCAGCUGGCCAUCAUCCACCAGCCGGGGGACUGUGCACAUCAGUUAACCUCUCCUCUCAGGCCUUGAAAAGCACCAGGCUUAGUACACGUUUGUUAAAUGAAUGCACUGCAGUUUUUUUGCUUGUUAAAGGCAGGUAAUAAUAAUGAUAUUGCUGACUAAGGGCUCCCAUCCACUCCCAGUGAGCCCGGUGCCCCCCCGGGCCUCCUCAGUGAGCUGAGGAGGCUCAGCAGUGCCUGCACGUCCCCUCGCCACAAUGUCAUGUGCCACCUCUUCAAAGGAGGGAUGUACCAGCUAGUGGACGUGACCUUGACUGCAAAGGGCGGCACGCAGCUGAUGUAAUGGUCGCUUAAGUGUUCACAAAUGCCUGAACACCCUGUCCUACCUGGUCCUACCUGGAUGCUGGCCUCAGUAAGCUCCUGGGCUCAUUGAAGAUGAACCUAGCAGUAGUAUUUACACCACUUGUUGUGUGCCCACUGUGGGCCCGGCGCCAUGCCGAGUGCUCUAUGGAUGUGAGUGCUGGGAGAGAAAAGCAUACGACAUAGACAGGGAGGUCAAGCUCCACCACGCAGAUGAGGUGCAGGCCACCAGUCUUCCUCUGCCACAUCUCUUUCUGAAAAGGACUUCACAUUCACCCUUGCAAUCCAUGUGGGGACACUGUUGGAUAGGAGGCGUGGUCCCAGCGUGGUCUCCCUGUCUGGGCCUCUGCCUAUGCCAAAUGUUUGCCUUACGCUGCACACUCAAGAGGUUCCAUGUAUACAGAUGGGAAUUCCAGAGCUACAGAAAAGGCAGCAAGCACCAUGAUUUAAGCUAACCAGUGUGGAUUCACACCUUCCUCUCUCUCUAUCAGUGGCAGAACUACCAGCUAGAGUAAGAAGUGGUUGAUCCAGGACCUAAACAUUCUGGAAACUCUUGCCCACUUCUGGGAGAAAUGACCCAAUCCAUAGUACUAAGCACACCUUAACUUUCGUAGGACGCAGGCAAGUUGUCAUACCGUGUGCCUAAAUAUAGAAAAAUGAUCCACUGGACUAAUAAAGUGUUAAAUAAAAUAUGUCCUGACUGUCUACUUUGACAACAUACUUUCAUAAUGACAAAACUUAAAAAUGUAUAAAGCUAUGGUUUUUAUAUAGUUGAAAAUUGACAAAACAGAAGACUAAAUUUACUUAUUAUUGCACAUGAUGGGCGGGCUAUGUUUGGUUGAG
rnacentral:lncRNA from 1 species